GAAACGACUGCUAAUACCGCAUACGAUCUAACCUUGGCAUCGAGGAUGGAUUAAAGGUGGCCUCUAUUUAUAAGCUAUCACCGAAGGAGGGGAUUGCGUCUGAUUAGCUAGUUGGAGGGGUAACGGCCCACCAAGGCUAUGAUCAGUAGCCGGUCUGAGAGGAUGAACGGCCACAUUGGGACUGAGAUACGGCCCAG
rnacentral:rRNA from 1 species